rnacentral:rRNA from 1 species
CCUACGGGAGGCAGCAGUAGGGAAUAUUGCACAAUGGGGGAAACCCUGAUGCAGCAACGCCGCGUGGAGGAAGAAGGUUUUCGGAUUGUAAACUCCUUUUGUUAGGGAAGAUAAUGACGGUAUCUAACGAAUAAGCACCGGCUAACUCCGUGCCAGCAGCCGCGGUAAUACGUAGGGUGCAAGCGUUACUCGGAAUUACUGGGCGUAAAGGGAGCGUAGACGGGAGAGCAAGUCAGAUGUGAAAGCCGAUGGCUUAACCAUAGGACUGCUCUUGAAACUGUUAGGCUAGAGUAUAGGAGAGGUAAGUGGAAUUCCUGGUGUAGGGGUAAAAUCCGUAGAGAUCAGGAGGAAUACUCAUUGCGAAGGCGACCUGCUAGAACAUAACUGACGUUGAGGCGCGAAAGCGUGGGGAGCAAACAGGAUUAGAUACCCGGGUAGUC